CAUUGCCUAUAAAGUGCGCAUCAGCUAGAAAGAAAGUCUAAAUUUAAAAUCUACAUUUCGUUGUACUACUCGUAAUACUCGUCCUGAAGCUUUAAGUUCAAGUUUUAUUUUCCAAGCAAUACCGCCUUCGGGCACAUUUUUACAAUAUAUUUUUUAGGAUAUGAUUAUGUCUAAAGUAACUGGUACAGUUAAGUGGUUCAACGAAUCUAAAGGUUUUGGUUUCAUCGCUCAAGAGUCUGGCGCAGACGUAUUUGCACACUUUAGUGCAAUUUCUGGCGACGGUUUCAAAACUCUAGUUGAAGGCCAAAAAGUUGAGUUCACUGUAACUCAAGGUCAAAAAGGUCCUCAAGCUGAGAACAUCGUAGUACUUUAAUUUUUAAUUAAAAUACUCUGAAAAAAAGCAGACAUAGUCUGCUUUUUUUGU
rfam:Pseudoalteromonas phenolica strain KCTC 12086 chromosome I, complete sequence.